GACGAACGCUGGCGGCGUGCUUAACACAUGCAAGUCGUACGGUAAGGCCCUUUCGGGGGUACACGAGUGGCGAACGGGUGAGUAACACGUGAGUAACCUGCCCACAACUUUGGGAUAACGCUAGGAAACUGGUGCUAAUACUGGAGAUGUGCUCCUGCUGCAUGGUGGGGGUUGGAAAGCUCCGGCGGUUGUGGAUGGACUCGCGGCCUAUCAGCUUGUUGGUGGGGUAGUGGCCUACCAAGGCGGCGACGGGUAGCCGGCCUGGGAGGGUGACCGGCCACAGUGAGACUGGGAUACGGCCCAGACUCCUACGCGAGGGAGCAGUGGGGGAUGUUGCACAAGGGGCGCAAGCCUGAUGCAGCAACGCCGCGGGCGGGAUGACGGCCUUCGGGUUGUAAUCCGCUUGCAGCAGGGCCGAAGCUUUUUGUGACGGUACCUGCAGAAGAAGCACCGGCUAACUACGUG
rnacentral:rRNA from 1 species